GACAAGUAUCUUGAGAAUAUUUUGCCACAGUCAUUGCACAUUUUCUCCUUAGCUGUUUGUUUUCCAAAUUCAAGUGAGAACUUGGCCAGACUCUGUUGCAAUAUCUUUCUUCCUUUCAAGAAUCAAAGGAGGACUUUCAAUGUCUUCACUACAGCACAUUCUGCAACUCCACAGACUACACUUUCAAUGCAUAGAGUUAGCUCUAGGUAAUCUAAUCCAAGGAGGUUUGAGUUUUACAUGAUAUGCAUUACUGUGCUCUCUGAGAACCUCCAAGGAGACCUAUGCUUUUCUGCAGCAUCCUCUCUAACUGUUCCCCCCAUUAUAUUCCAAGGUCUGUAGCUGUUUUGCCUUUAGUAGUUGGAGCUUUAGCGUACAUAACUUUGCUAUACUAGUUGACCCGCAAUAACUUAGAAGGAAGUCAUUUUGUUUUCUCCUUUUAUUAGUGUCAGAACUGCUCUCUGGGCUGUGUUACAAUGACAAUCGCUUUUAUCCAAAUCAUGUCUACCAACGACAUGGUCUCCCUGGGCUUGAUGUAUUCAGCACCCUAAAGUAUGGAAAAAUCUGUGUGCCUUUCUACAAUCCAGCUGGGAGAAAUUUAGGUUGAGUUCUGGCUUCACAUUGCUUUCAUCCUGUGAGUAUGCUGUAAAAAGGAAGGGGAAGGGAUAAGGAUUUUAAUUUCCCUCCAUAUGGGAGACCGCAGGAAUUCUGAGUGACUGAGGAUACUGUAUACCAUUCUCAGCUUCUAUCUCUCAGCUCCUCUGUAAGUGACUCAGGUACUCUGCAAUUCAGAAAAUCCUGCCUCACAUAAAUGUGGAAUCCUAAAAUUCUAGAGAUGGGCCACAGCUGGCCCAUGGAUGUCUGCUGAGGCACUGAAGCUCUUCACCAUGAUAUAAAAUGUUUGUGUCAUGCACUUUUUAGCAUGAUCUGAGCUAUUAGGUAUGCAAAGAUCACUUGUGGCCUACAGGUUACAGCCCUUGGCUCCCAAAAUGACCUAGGGGAAGCCCUGACACGCAUUUCACUUUUCAGCUUUUGAAGCAGGCUGUUAUCUCACAUGCCAGUAAAAUGACUCAACACACAAACUGAUGAGCCAUUUUCUCUGGUGCUCCACCUAUUGGAACUGUUCUGCUAGAUUUGAUUCAGUUCAGUUUUGAGUUAAGUAAUAACUGGUCUGACUGAGUCUAUACCCCUCUGGUCAGUGCACUCUGCUGAGAUCAAGGAAGCUGAAAUCCCAAUCCCUGCUAAAUAUUUAAUGUUUUAUGCAUGAUAAACAGCUCCCACAGGAGGGAUUUCCAGCACAGAAGAGAAAAAAAUCAAAUCAUCCGGAAGAGUGGCUUGAGCCUGGCCCUUUGACAUUGCAGGGAUGUUCUAAUUUGAUUGUCAGAUCCAGAAAGGUAGAACCUCUCUUGCUUUUCUUCUUGCACUCAAAAUAAGAAUGUUUAGCUCUGAGUUUACAGAUCAUAAUUGCAGGCAAUAGGAGAAGACAGUGCACCUUUCACUAAUUGGGAAAACAACAAAAUUUUGGAAAAGUAUGUACUGUGUGAAGAACGGGACCUAAUGCUUUAUCAGUGUCUGAAAUUAAGCAUGAAUCAACAAGAAGAUGGAAUUAAAGAUGCUCCCAUAUUUUGCCAGGGAGAAUAUAUGGAAGAGAACAGACAUUUUCCCUCAACGUCAGGUUGGAAAGCUCUCAUCUCUGUCUAGAGUUCAAGGUGGACAUUAUUCAUCUCUUCCCUGUUGAGAUGACUCAGAGUUUCCCUCAGACGUCCUGGAAAAAAAAUAAGACAUUGGAACACUUGUCAUCCGUGUGCAGAGUUGAAAUGAAUUUUCUUUCAUCACAAUAACGCAAGAAUAAUGACCUGCCAUUGUGUACAAGGAUAUUGCCAUGUAAUCCUGUCACAUGCAACCCCUGCGGCAGGACUGGGAACUGAAGCCAAGUUCCCCAUCCCUGGCCAAUAACUCACUCACAAGGUCAUUUUUCCCUACAACAGGUAGUGAUGACUAAACUGCAAUGUAAUGGUGACUCAGGAUAAUAAUAUUGGAUGGCCUUUUGACCAUGGUAAGCCAUCACUAAAGUUAGCAAUCCACUUACUUGCUCAGUCCAUCUGUCAGCUUCUAAGGAAUGGCUGAGUCUGAUGUUUGGACUUUAGGGUUGGACUUGAGAAUCUUGAGGAUCUUUUCCAACCUAGAUGAUUCUUUGAUUCUAUAUUUCUAAAUGUGUGUUCACAUGACAUAUCCCUCCAUUUGUUACUCUCUUGCUAAAAUGAAAAACUUUCAUUCCUUUCAGCCUUGACCUGAUCUGACACCUCUCAGUUCAGCCAGUUCUUAGCAAAAUUCUGCUGAGAACCCACAACAUGUGUGCUGUGCUGUAAAUGCUGAGAAAGCAGUGUGAUUUAGAUGAAACACUGAGCCUGGGGCUACAGCAAGCAGCGUGGAUUAUCUAGUCCAACCAAAAAUUCACUCUUAAAGGUGUGGCUAUACAUGCUAGCUGUGCAGCAGCUUCUGUUCUCUGCGCUAUGUUUCUUCUAGCUUACCUAUUAACAGCUGGUUUCUUACCAAAAGAGAACUGUCUCUGUUAAAGUCUCAGUGGAAUGAUGAGCAGGGUAAAGUAAAGCUACAAAUUAAAAGGAAUUCACUCCUGGUUUGUUUGUUUGUUUUUUAAAGUUUAUUCAGUCCAAGUCUUGGAAGUGUUAUAUCAGAUAAAGUGGAUUAAAUUAAAUAAAACUUUUUCUCAAAUGAAUAA